UUUGGGGGUCGGGAAAAAGCUUGAUUUGCUUACUUUCGUAAGAAGAAUUGAAGCAAGUUAAGCAAAAAAUUGAUCGAUUUGGGAGGUUGCAUCUAAGGCACAAUUUGAGUACCGACGGAUGUCACCAAUAUGAGAAGUGGACAAAGCUAAGAAUGCAAAGGCAGACGAAGGAGCCUCCAGUAGCUAGUUUUUCUAUUCUCCCCUGCGCAGGAACUUAUCCUUUUUCAUGUUAUUUCCCUUUUCCCCCAAAGAUUGUAUCCCUCUUUUGUUAUCGUUGGUACGUAUUUAUGCCCGUUUCGUAUCUAUAUAAGUUGGGGAAUAAUGGAUUGAAUUUAGGGAAG
rnacentral:lncRNA from 1 species